rnacentral:piRNA from 1 species
ACAAACUGGGGCAGGAUUGUGACUCUUA